UAAUCCGGUAUUGAACCGGUAUUGGGUGACAUUGAUCCGAUAUUGGGACAUGAUCAAUGGGGGCAUUGACCCAGUAUUGAUCCGGUAUUGAUCCAGUAUUGUUCUGUAUUGAUCCAGUAUUGGGUGACAUUGAUUCAGUAUUGAUCUGUAUUGAUCCGGCAUUGAUCUGGUAUUGAUCUGUAUUGAUCCGGCAUUGAUCCAGCACUGAUCUGCUAUUGAUCUGGCAUUCAUUGAACCAGCACUGAUCUGACAUUGAUCUGGUAUUGAUCUGGUAUUGAUCUCAUUGAUCCAGCCCUGGCCUCCAUCCCGUAUCGACCCAGCCUCUCUCCUGUGGGGCUGGCACGGCCCCCACGGCACACGGGGGGUUCCCCUCC